rnacentral:rRNA from 1 species
GGGCGUUAAGUUGCAGGGUAUAGACCCGAAACCCGGUGAUCUAGCCAUGGGCAGGUUGAAGGUUGGGUAACACUAACUGGAGGACCGAACCGACUAAUGUUGAAAAAUUAGCGGAUGACCUGUGGCUGGGGGUGAAAGGCCAAUCAAACCGGGAGAUAGCUGGUUCUCCCCGAAAGCUAUUUAGGUAGCGCCUCGUGAAUUCAUCUCCGGGGGUAGAGCACUGUUUCGGCUAGGGGGCCAUCCCGGCUUACCAACCCGAUGCAAACUGCGAAUACCGGAGAAUGUUAUCACGGGAGACACACGGCGGGUGCUAACGUCCGUCGUGAAGAGGGAAACAACCCAGACCGCCAGCUAAGGUCCCAAAGUCAUGGUUAAGUGGGAAACGAUGUGGGAAGGCCCAGACAGCCAGGAUGUUGGCUUAGAAGCAGCCAUCAUUUAAAGAAAGCGUAAUAGCUCACUGGUCGAGUCGGCCUGCGCGGAAGAUGUAACGGGGCUAAACCAUGCACCGAAGCUGCGGCAGCGACACUAUGUGUUGUUGGGUAGGGGAGCGUUCUGUAAGCCUGUGAAGGUGGCCUGUGAGGGUUGCUGGAGGUAUCAGAAGUGCGAAUGCUGACAUAAGUAACGAUAAAGCGGGUGAAAAGCCCGCUCGCCGGAAGACCAAGGGUUCCUGUCCAACGUUAAUCGGGGCAGGGUGAGUCGACCCCUAAGGCGAGGCCGAAAGGCGUAGUCGAUGGGAAACGGGUUAAUAUUCCCGUACUUGGUGUUACUGCGAAGGGGGGACGGAGAAGGCUAUGUUGGCCGGGCGACGGUUGUCCCGGUUUAAGCGUGUAGGUGUGUGUUCCAGGUAAAUCCGGUUCACUUUAACACUGAGGCGUGA